CCUACGGGAGGCAGCAGUGAGGAAUAUUGGUCAAUGGACGAGAGUCUGAACCAGCCAAGUAGCGUGAAGGAUGACUGCCCUAGGGGUUGUAAACUUCUUUUAUAGGGGAAUAAAAUGUUCCACGUGUGGGAUUUUGUAUGUACCAUAUGAAUAAGGAUCGGCUAACUCCGUGCCAGCAGCCGCGGUAAUACGGAGGAUCCGAGCGUUAUCCGGAUUUAUUGGGUUUAAAGGGAGCGUAGGUGGAUUGUUAAGUCAGUUGUGAAAGUUUGCGGCUCAACCGUAAAAUUGCAGUUGAAACUGGCAGUCUUGAGUACAGUAGAGGUGGGCGGAAUUCGUGGUGUAGCGGUGAAAUGCUUAGAUAUCACGAAGAACUCCGAUUGCGAAGGCAGUUCACUGGACUGCAACUGACACUGAGGCUCGAAAGUGUGGGUAUCAAACAGGAUUAGAUACCCUUGUAGUC
rnacentral:rRNA from 1 species